AUGGGCAAGUGUCAUGGACUGUCUACCUCCAGGAAGCUCCAUUGUCACCGACAGGAUCAGAAGUGGCAUGGUAAAUGGUACAAGAAAGCCCAUUCGGGCACAGUCCUGAAGACCAGCCCUUUUGGAGGUGCUUCUCAUGCAAAGGGAAUUGGGCUGGAAAAAGUAGGGAUUGGAGCCAAAUAGCCCAGCUCUGCCACUGAGAAGUGUUGGAGGCUGUGAGGCAGAUGAGAGAACAGCAAGAAAAUCACAGCCUUUGUACCUGAUGAUGAUUGCUUGAAUUUUAUUGAAAAAAAUGAUGAAGUUCUUUCUGGUUGCUGGAUUUGGCAGAAAAGGUCAUGCUGUUGGUGAUAUUCCUGGAGUCCACCUUAAAGUUGUUAAAGUAGCCAAUGUCUCUCUUUUGGCCCUAUCAAAAGCAAGGAGGAAAGACCAAGCUCAUCA
rnacentral:lncRNA from 1 species